UAGGGAAUCUUCGGCAAUGGACGGAAGUCUGACCGAGCAACGCCGCGUGAGUGAAGAAGGUUUUCGGAUCGUAAAGCUCUGUUGUUAGAGAAGAACGUUGGUAGGAGUGGAAAAUCUACCAAGUGACGGUAACUAACCAGAAAGGGACGGCUAACUACGUGCCAGCAGCCGCGGUAAUACGUAGGUCCCGAGCGUUGUCCGGAUUUAUUGGGCGUAAAGCGAGCGCAAGCGGUUCUUUAAGUCUGAAGUUAAAGGCAGUGGCUUAACCAUUGUACGCUUUGGAAACUGGAGGACUUGAGUGCAGAAGGGGAGAGUGGAAUUCCAUGUGUAGCGGUGAAAUGCGUAGAUAUAUGGAGGAACACCGGUGGCGAAAGCGGCUCUCUGGUCUGUAACUGACGCUGAGGCUCGAAAGCGUGGGGAGCAAACAGG
rnacentral:rRNA from 1 species